UACGUAGGGUGCGAGCGUUGUCCGGAAUUACUGGGCGUAAAGAGCUCGUAGGUGGUUUGUCGCGUUGUUCGUGAAAUCUCACGGCUUAACUGUGAGCGUGCGGGCGAUACGGGCAGACUAGAGUACUGCAGGGGAGACUGGAAUUCCUGGUGUAGCGGUGGAAUGCGCAGAUAUCAGGAGGAACACCGGUGGCGAAGGCGGGUCUCUGGGCAGCAACUGACGCUGAGGAGCGAAAGCGUGGGGAGCGAACAGG
rnacentral:rRNA from 1 species